AACGAACGCUGGCGGCAGGCUUAACACAUGCAAGUCGAGCGCCCCGCAAGGGGAGCGGCAGACGGGUGAGUAACGCGUGGGAACGUACCUUUCAGCUCGGAAUAACUCAGGGAAACUUGUGCUAAUACCGGAUACGCUCGUAAGAGGAAAGAUUUAUCGCUGAAAGAUCGGCCCGCGUUGGAUUAGCUAGUUGGUGGGGAAAUGGCCUACCAAGGCGACGAUCCAUAGCUGGUCUGACAGGAUGAUCAGCCACACUGGGACUGAGACACGGCCCAGACUCCUACGGGAGGCAGCAGUGGGGAAUAUUGGACAAUGGGCGAAAGCCUGAUCCAGCCAUGCCGCGUGAGUGAUGAAGGCUCUAGGGUUGUAAAGCUCUUUCACCGAUGAAGAUAAUGACGGUAGUCAGAGAAGAAGCCCCGGCUAACUUCGUGCCAGCCGCCGCAGUAACAC
rnacentral:rRNA from 1 species